UGCCAGCCGCCGCGGUAAGACGAGAGGCCCGAGCGUUAAUCGGAAUCACUGGGCUUAAAGGGUGCGCAGGCGGACCCGUGUGUGUGCUGUGAAAUCCCCCGGCUCAACCGGGGAAUUGCAGUGCAAACUGCGGGUCUUGAGGCAGGUAGGGGCCGUCGGAACGAUCGGUGGAGCGGUGAAAUGCGUUGAUAUCGAUCGGAACGCCAAAGGUGAAGACAGGCGGCUGGGCCUAGCCUGACGCUCAGGCACGAAAGCGUGGGGAUCAAACAGGAUUAGAUA
rnacentral:rRNA from 1 species